CUACUAUGUUGAUGUUAAUUUAAAAAAAAAAAACUACUCAAUAGGUGUACGAUAGUACAAUACUCCCGCAGAGCUGCUGAACGACUCCAGCUCCACCGCUCCGCCGCUCCACUUAUCAACCUCCAUCUGCCCUCGGCCAUAUUGACUUAACCGUCCCACCACAUUCAACAGUUUCCCCCCCCAAAAGGGAACAGAGAGCGUUCACCCACAGCGGAUAUAAAUCACAACAGGAGACGUCAAGCUAGUUUAAAAUACUAUUAUUAUUAUUUAUGGUACUUUUUUCCUUACGUGAGUGUUUUUGCAGUUACACAAUUUGUAAUGCAUUUUGCAAAAAGAAGUUCUGUAAUAAAUCAAAAUUACAUAAGAAAA